UUAGGAAAAAUGUGGAGAAUGGAAAAAAUGCAGACAUGAGUCAAGCAUCAGUUCUUUACAUCAGGAUCUAAGGGUUGGCCAAAUUUAUGCAUAGACAUAUAAAUCUCUUUGGCAAGGCACUGAGACUUAUCUGCUACUGUAAAAAGCCUUUAGAAAUAUAGAGUAACAGUUCAUUGAGCCUCCAGCCCAUCUAGAGACUUGAUAUGUGGAAAGCUUGAGUGGAAACUCGAGUUUCAGAUCCAAAAAUAAUUUUGCUACAGCCUGUGUGGUUCUUCCAGGUGUUUUGGUUUAAGUUUACAUGUAACAUAUGGAGAAUUCAGAAACAGUUUGCCAAGUUUUAUCUCAGGUUGGACUGUGUCCAGAGAAGGUGACUGCAGUAGUAACAGCUUUGGAAACUGGUCACCUGAGAGUCAACUGGAGGAUGUGGAGAUGCAAGGCGCGAGUGAAGUGUUUCGUGUGGAAGGCAGCAUACAUCUCCGUAGGAGUCAUAAGGAUGGAGAACUGCAGUUGCUAGAUGAAGUCCCUGCAGAGAUACAGAACUUUACAGAGCUUUCUAACUGGCCUUGGAAUAGCC